UACAGAGGUCUCAAGCGUUGUUCGGAUUCAUUGGGCGUAAAGGGUGCGUAGGCGGGUCUUUAAGUCAGGGGUGAAAUCCUGGAGCUCAACUCCAGAACUGCCUUUGAUACUGAGGAUCUUGAGUUCGGGAGAGGUGAGUGGAACUGCGAGUGUAGAGGUGAAAUUCGUAGAUAUUCGCAAGAACACCAGUGGCGAAGGCGGCUUACUGGACCGGUUCUGACGCUGAGGCGCGAAAGCGUGGGGAGCAAACAGG
rnacentral:rRNA from 1 species